GCUGUCGAGUGGCGUUUGACUUCCUGCUGUGCGUGUCUUUGGCGUGCAGGUGGCACACCGGAGUGAGAGAGUCGAUUGAACUUCAGAAAAACACAGCCGAGUCAUGUAUGUGAGGGCUGUGUGGAAGGAGGGUGACAGAGAGGAGGAAGGCGUGGUCCCACAAAACUGGGUGGAUGAAGGGGAAAAGGUAGUUCGGUGGCCUUCCAGUUUUAGUGUCACUAAAACAGAGAAGGCGAU